GCAAGUCAGGGGCGAGCGACAAGGAGCAAUCUGAGGUGGCGACCGGCGCACGGGUGAGUAACACGUAUGCAACCUGCCUGUAAGCGGGGAAUAAACCCGUUGAAAGACGGACUAAUACCGCAUAAUACUAAAUUACUGCAUGGUAAUUUAUUUAAACAUUUAUGGCCUACAGAUGGGCAUGCGCAUGAUUAGCUAGUUGGAGAGGUAACGGCUCCCCAAGGCAACGAUCAUUAGGGGUUCUGAGAGGAAGGUCCCCCACACUGGUACUGAGACACGGACCAGACUCCUACGGGAGGCAGCAGUGAGGAAUAUUGGUCAAUGGGCGGGAGCCUGAACCAGCCAAGUCGCGUAGAAGGAAGAAGGAUCUAUGGUUCGUAAACUUCUUUUGCAGGGGAAUAAAGUGCAGGACGUGUCCUGUUUUGUAUGUACCCUGAGAAUAAGGAUCGGCUAACUCCGUGCCAGCCGCCGC
rnacentral:rRNA from 1 species